AAUUUUGUCUGCUCCAAACUGCUGCAAAUUGCAGUUUUACUUGCUCCAAAAAUUGCUCCGAAAUGACUUUGGGCAGUCCCACCCCUGUGUAUGCAGGCAAAGUUUGGUUUUAAGUGCUCAAGUGCUUUCUUUUGGCUACCCCCCCCCCCCCCCACACACACCUUUUGCAGACAUUUGUAAGAAAUGCCUAAUGUGUUGAAGUAGUGAAACCAUUGAAUAUUAUGCGCUGUAUUAUUAACAGGUCUGUGUGCUCAAGAGAUACCCAUGAGGUGGUUGUUUAUCUACAGAUAUAUUGUGAUUUAUUGUCUAAUUGCACGUAUGUGCUCACUGGAAUUACUUUGUGGAUCAUAACACUGUGCUGAUAAGUUUGCUGUGGCUUGGAUUUCUGCAACCCAAUCAAUACAGUGGCAGCUAUGGGUGAAGUUUUUUUUUUUUUUUACUGCAAUAGCGAUGGACCUUUCUGCAAACAUGCAGCGCCAUGCUUUCCCUUAGUGGCGUUUGGCAAGAGGAUGCACCAGGCAGCUGCUGUAUGAGACUGUAAAGUGUCCUGCAAACUUUUUAUAAUUUCUCAAAGUUUUUAUUUUUACUGUUUGUCAGUUGCUGGCUGAAAGUGUGCAUACCACUGAACCUUAAGCAAAGCAUUUUACUACCUUCAGCAUGCCUCAGAAGAAGAAAGAUGCCGUUCUAACAUGCUGUGCACCUGGCUAUGAUAACAUUCUGGAAGACAGCAACGUCGUUUAUGCCUUAUCGUUUGACACAUGAUCACUAAACUUUGUGUGCACAUUUUAUUGCAUUCCUACGUUUUUGAAACAUGAAAACGAUGAGUAGACUGUACUUUGUCACGGCUUGUCGUUGGUGAAAAUGCGUGAGAGAGUCCAUCUAUGUAAUAAACAAUCAUCUUCCAUCAAUGCUGCCACCUUUAAUAGUUUUCAAUCGCUUUAGUAUAUCACUACUGCCUACCACUAUUAUAUCUCGGCAGUGGCACGUCGCAGGUGGUCGUGAUGCUAGUGUAUAAGGCGAACAGGCUUAGUAUAGAAGCCGUACUUUGUCACAACCAACAACCUAUAGCAAAGCAUCAUGCUGAAUGUUACCUCGUGCAUAUACUGAAGAAUUUUAUUACUGAUAGAUUGACAAUACAACUUCUGCAUUUUCCAGAUUUAGUGAUGAUAAGCAAACUCUCGGGCUAAAAGCAUUCAGCUGACAAGUGUCAUGUCCCUUUUGAGAUGCAGAAACCAUUGGAGGAGGAUUAUCAAAGUGAAUCGAUAGCUUCUCAGUAGAUCUGCUGAGAUAUGCUGCUGGGACAUUUAUUAGUUGGCUCUGUUAGUUAAUGAUAUGAGGUGUGUGGGUGUGUGAUAUUUCGGAGUGCAUCCAAUAGGCUGUCUUCAGCCUUGCUAUGCUGUAAGGUGAGAGACAUGCUGAUGUAUUAAUUUUUCCUGCACCUAUGGUUCUAUCACUGAAUAUUCUGUGGCCAGUGUCUUGUGAAGCAUUGCCCGUGCUGCAAAGUGCUUCAUUUACAUCCCGCAUUAUGUGCUACUGCUCCAGCAUAGUGCAUUGUGUUCAACAGAGGAACGCUGUGUGUCGUGUAUGCGGAAUGCUAAUUCUGCAUUCUCGUUCGGCACCUGAGACAGCACAUUGUAUAUUAUAUACAUUUAUGCAGGACAAGAUGCUGUGUUGUGAGUGCACUUGCAAUGGCCAUUUAACUGCUAUCACAAUAAAAUGAGUUUUAUGCGUGACAAGAGAUCAAUGCGGAGUAUUGAAGUUGUGUUCAAGGACUUUCUAAGUAUCAGUGGAAUGCAUGGUCAUCAGCUUGAGCAAACGCCUUGUCUUUGUAGCAGCCAGGCAGAGUGUCAUUAUAUAUAUAGGUCCCGCAACUCGAGAGCAACUCGAUACUGAGCAUGUAACCAAAGACUUCCAGUCUGGAACAUGGCACAAUCAUGUCUUGGAAUGUGAAUUGCAGCUGCAAUGAACUGGCCUCUGUUCAGCUCAAGACAGAUCUCGCAAGAAUAGCAACAUUCUGUAUUACUAUGUGUUGUUGCCUUUGCAACAGCAGUGCAAAAAGUGGGCACAGAGGUUGUUUUUUUUUUUUCUAGUACUACAGUUCGUUUUAUCAUUUGCAUCCCAUUAAGUAGUAUGAGUGAACAUAUAGUAGCAUUUUUGUAAGUAGCACAUUGAUGUGUGUAAUGUGGCCCAAAGCUGCCUUGAACUGGUGUGUAGUCAGAUGAAGACAGAUCCAGCAGUUUGGAAUACUUGGUAUUACAUCUACCUUUGCCACAGCAAUAUGAAAAGACGAAACAUGUUUUUUCUGUGUGUGUGUGCAUGUAUGUGUGUGUAUGCUGUGUUUAGUUUCAAUGCUGUCUGCAUCCCUUUAUGUACCACAUGUGAAUAUGUCGUAUUUUUUUUUUUCUUUGCUAUUUUGGAAGGGCACGAUUUGCUCAUUUAUAUAUUUCUUGAGUAAAAUAAAAUGAAGAAAGCUGUUCAGCAAA